rnacentral:tRNA from 1 species
AGGCCCAUCGUCUAGCGGUCAAGGAUAGGUGGCUUUGGACCACCGGACCCCGGUUCGAAUCCGGGUGGGCCUA